UUUGAAUUCCCAUUUCUAUUGUUUCACAGUCUCAUAUGAUGGACAUUCUUUGCUAUACACAUCUUUUUGUGAAUUGCUUAAGCAGUUUUCUCUUGAAGACAAAGGAACUGCAUUGCAGUUCAAUACUCAAUUUUACCCAGCACAAUACCUUUUUCUACUAUCAAGCUUCUAACUUUGGUAAAACAGGACUUGCCAAAACAAAAAAAGACAUGCAUAUUAAUAAAACAGCAACUGACUAUGUUUACAAUUACAAAUCUAUAGCACACACGACAUGGUGAGGAUAAGAACUUUUUUGCCUCCUUGUAGAAUAUCCAAUUUCUUCUAUCUUU
rnacentral:lncRNA from 1 species